rnacentral:rRNA from 1 species
AGAGUUUGAUCCUGGCUCAGGAUAAACGCUGGCGGCGUGCCUAACACAUGCAAGUCGAACGCGGAUGGAAACAUCCGAGUGGCGGACGGGUGAGGAACACGUGGGUAAUCUACCUUGAGGUGAGGAAUACCGGCGAGAAAUCGCCGACAAUACCGCAUACGUUUGGAGACAAACAAAGCUACGCAAGUGGCGCCACAAGA